rnacentral:rRNA from 1 species
AUUGAACGCUGGCGGCAGGCCUAACACAUGCAAGUCGGACGGUAGCACAGAGGAGCUUGCUCCUUGGGUGACGAGUGGCGGACGGGUGAGUAAUGUCUGGGGAUCUGCCCGAUAGAGGGGGAUAACCACUGGAAACGGUGGCUAAUACCGCAUAACGUCGCGAGACCAAAGAGGGGGACCUUCGGGCCUCUCACUAUCGGAUGAACCCAGAUGGGAUUAGCUAGUAGGCGGGGUAAUGGCCCACCUAGGCGACGAUCCCUAGCUGGUCUGAGAGGAUGACCAGCCACACUGGAACUGAGACACGGUCCAGACUCCUACGGGAGGCAGCAGUGGGGAAUAUUGCACAAUGGGCGCAAGCCUGAUGCAGCCAUGCCGCGUGUAUGAAGAAGGCCUCCGGGUUGUAAAGUACUUUCAGCGGGGAGGAAGGCGGUGAGGUUAAUAACCUCGCCGAUUGACGUUACCCGCAGAAGAAGCACCGGCUAACUCCGUGCCAGCCGCCGCAGUAA